rnacentral:tRNA from 1 species
UGUCCUGUGGUGUAAUUGGCAACACAUCAGAUUUUGGUUCUGAAAUUCAAGGUUCGAGUCCUUGCAGGACAA